UCACUGUGUCCAUUGGAGGCUCACUGU
rnacentral:piRNA from 1 species